rnacentral:rRNA from 1 species
UUGCGGUUAAAAAGCUCGUAGUUGGAUCUCGGCGGGCAGGGGGUGGUUCGCUCUUCAGCGCUACUGCCCCGCUUUGCCCGUGUGAUUGGCGGAGGUUUCGGGGUGCUCUUCGUUGAGUGACUCGGAGCGCCGUCAGGUUUACUUUGAAAAAAUUAGAGUGCUCAAAGCAGGCCUUUCACGCUUGAAUAUUCGUGCAUGGAAUAAUGGAAUAGGAACUCGUUUCUAUUUUGUUGGUUUUCGGAAAUCGAGUUAAUGAUUAACAGGGACAAUUGGGGGCAUUAGUAUUCAGACGACAGAGGUGAAAUUCUUGGACCGUCUGAAGACUGACUACUGCGAAAGCAUUUGCCAAGAGUGUUUUCAUUAAUCAAGAACGAAAGUUAGAGGUUCGAAGGCGAUCAGAUACCGCCCUAGUUCUAACCAUAAACGAUGCCAGCUAGCGAUCUGCCGAGUUUUUUUUGUAGGCUCCGCAGGAAGCUUUCGGGAAACCAAAGCUUUUGGGUUCCGGGGGAAGUAUGGUUGCAAAGCUGAAACU